UGAGGAUAAACCGCGAUAGGCCAAGAUUUCUGGAAUGGAUCAUGGCUGAAAUCUAUAUGGCCCUUGGAUUGGACUGCGGCCGAUCAGGCUGUUGGUGAGGUAAUGGCCCACCAAACCUGUAACCGGUACGGGCUUUGAGAGAAGGAGCCCGGAGAUGGGCACUGAGACAAGGGCCCAGGCCCUAUGGGGCGCAGCAGGCGCGAAACCUCUGCAAUAGGCGAAAGCUUGACAGGGUUACUCUGAGUGAUGCCCGCUAAGGGCAUCUUUUGGCACCUCUAAAAAUGGUGUAGAAUAAGGGGUGGGCAAGUCUGGUGUCAGCCGCCGCGGUAAUACCAGCACCCCGAGUGGUCGGGACGAUUAUUGGGCCUAAAGCAUCCGUAGCUUGUUCUGCAAGUCUUCCGUUAAAUCCACCUGCUCAACAGAUGGGCUGCGGGGGAUACUACAGGGCUAGGAGGCGGGAGAGGCAAGCGGUACUCAGUGGGUAGGGGUAAAAUCCUCUGAUCCACUGAAGACCACCAGUGGCGAAGGCGGCUUGCCAGAACGCGCUCGACGGUGAGGGAUGAAAGCUGGGGGGAGCAAACCGGAUUAGAUACCCGGGUAGUCCCAGCUGUAAACGAUGC
rnacentral:rRNA from 1 species